ensembl:lncRNA
AGUCAGACGGAUGGAGAGAAAUGCAGCCUUGAUGAACUGUUUUAAACACGUGUGAUCAGAAACUCUAGAAAAAAAGAAUUUCAGCAUAUAUUUUGGCUACUUUCCAAAAUGUGAGUUUAUUUGGAAUUAUUUCUAGAACUAGGUGGGUGGGCACCAAAAUCUUUUUCUUGUUUAAAGCCCUGGAAGGAGCGAGGGUUUGACAGGAGCCCCAAACAUGCCUCCAAGAGAAGAGGCCAGGGGGAGUGUAGCGAUGAAGGCCCCGUGGCUUGAGACAAAUGAGAAGAGAGGGAGAGAGCUGAGACGCGGGCUGUUCGCUUGGUGGUUCCUCAGUCGCCAGGGCAGGCUGACUGUGAAGGAGCUGCUGCAGCUCGCGGGAGCCCAGGAACAGUGACCCCGCUCUCGGAUCCCAGGUGCAGGAGGCUGGCUGAGAUUUCAACGAUAGUAGUCAGGUCUGCACUUGGGGAAAGGUCACGGCUCAUAAUAGCUUGGAUUGUUCAACCUAGACAUGUGCGGAUUAGGAAACAAGACGCAGAGAGACUCCGACCCGCUCAAGGUGAAAGUCCCAGUUGGUGGCUGAGCCAGCCAAGGAUGCCUGCGUCCUGACAUCCAGCCCUGAGCUCUUCUGAAGAUGAGGGGACUCUUAAGAAUACACAAUACUUCCAGGCUUUUUGUUCCGACAGAAGUAAGUUUGCAAAGCAGUUGUGGAGGACUCUCGGAAGAAGGGCAAACAGUCCCCGAGGGGGUGGAGCUGCUGGUUCCAGGAGCUCUGUUGCCAGCAAUUAUUAAUUCACUCCGGCUGGCGCUGUCUUGGGGGCCUCCCGCGCACAAUAGCAUUAGGAGCGUUGGCAGCUGCGGAGGGAGAAGGCCCGCUCCACCUGGGAAUGAGGAAGAUGUGACUCCUCGCAAGGUUGCUCUCCUCCCAGCUCCCGCUCUUGGGAGAGAUGAUCAGUGCUUGCGGGCCUGGGAGCAGGCUGCUGAGGACACAGUGUUCCCGGGGAUGGUGGCAGAUCUUGGAGAAGGGACAGAAGCUGGGCCAAGAGACUGGAACUUAUGCAAAUCAGGCCUGAGGAUGGUUCAAGGAGGGGGCAGCCCCUGCCUUAUGCCUCCCCCUCAGCAUACCCAGAACCAGACUCCUCGGGAGGAACAUCUUUUGUCUUCAAUGCUAAGCUUGUUCACGAGGAUGUGUGAGCAAAAUAUUGCUUAGGAAUGUGCACUCUGGAGCAGACUGUGUGGGUUCAAAUCCUGGCAUCAUCAUUAACCAGCUGUGUGACUCUGGGCAAGAAAAAUUGUGGAAGCUCUCUGACUUUUUUUUCAUCUGUAGGAUGGGAAUAAUAACACGUACCUCGUUAAUUAAAUGAGCAAUUACACACAAAAAACUUAGAAUUUGCAGAGAAUGUGGGAAGGCCUCCAUCAAUUAUCAUUUUUCUCCAUGGAGCUCCAUUGAGAGACAUAAUAUACUGUAAAGAGCUUGGCUUUGGAGAAAGACAGAGCUGGGUUCCAAGUCCUGCCUCUGCCGUUGCCCUGCUGCAUAACUUUGGGCAAGAUGCUUAGCUUCUCAAUGCCCAAUUUUCUCAUCAACAAAAUGGAGCCACUGAUAUUUACAGCAUUAUCCCAAGGCAUAGAAAUGAUGCAUCCGAAGCCCCUGACCCAUGGCGCUGGGAAAAUAGGUUUGGAAUUUGAUGAACUGCCUGCUGCUGGCUCCUCUGUUUUCUGGCAUCAAGGUUCCUCAAUAGUGGACUCAACAGUUGCAUUUUUCACCUACAAAAGAAUUGCUAUCAGAAAACCAGACAGCGGAUAAUUGUAUUUUGUGAAUUGACAGUGAAGCCACUCGGUUUCAGCCCAGGUCCAAAGGCUGAGGAUGUUCACCCAGGAGAAAUGGCAGAAGGUUCAGAAUCCCUAACAGCUCUGGCGACCCCUGCUGUGUCAGUGUGAAUGCAAGAUGCCAAGUAAGACUGGAGGCUCCAGCUUCAACCAGAGCCUCAUCCAUCUCUUCAAACCUACCAGGGAAGGAAAUAAAAAUAUGUGCCCAUAAAUUUCCUCCUUGACGGGCAGCAAAUGCGCUGGCCUCCUGCCACCUGACAGUGAAACGUGAAGCUGGGGAGUGUCUCCCUGCAAGCGCACCUAGGGCUGCUCCCGCCCCCUUCUGGAGCAGGAUCAAAAUGCUUCCCCAGAAGUGCGCCAGCUGCCCUUGUGGGCCAGGCCCAGCCAUCCAAAGCUGCCGAAGAGCAACUUGGCUUCCUUUCCCUUCUCCCACUUGGACCACCAGGAUGCCUCUGCAGUUUUUUGGACUCCUGUUUUGACCAAUUAUCCCAAUUAACUUGAGCAAGAUAGAAGGAGAGACCUAUACCCCCCUCUUUGUCCGAGAAAAAAUGCACCAAGGGAGAGAGAAUGAAGACAAGACUAUGAAUCUGUUCCCUGCACACAUCGAACUCAUUCCUAUCUCUGCGCAUGCUGUUCAACCCACUGGGAACACGCUUUCUUCUCCCAUCAGCACCCAUUUACCUAAAUUUUAUUCAUUCUUCAAGACUCAUUAAAUCCCGUCUGCUUCAUGAAGAUUUUUUAUCUGUGAGUUCACUCCCUCCACUGUCUCUUACUGUACCUGCAAUCUGUCCCAGAGUUUAAUGUGACUAUAGACAUGCUUGUGUUUCUUCUCUCCUCCCUGCUUCCCUCCUGUGCCCUGCACAGUGCUGGUCCAUUAUAAGCUUCAAGAAAUGUUUGUUGAUUGACACAUUAAAGAGAUGAACUGAACCUCGCUCUCUUUUC